AACGAACGCUGGCGGCAGGCUUAACACAUGCAAGUCGAACGCCCCGCAAGGGGAGUGGCAGACGGGUGAGUAACGCGUGGGAACAUACCCUUUCCUGCGGAAUAGCUCUGGGAAACUGGAAUUAAUACCGCAUACGCCCUACGGGGGAAAGAUUUAUCGGGGAAGGAUUGGCCCGCGUUGGAUUAGCUAGUUGGUGGGGUAAAGGCCUACCAAGGCGACGAUCCAUAGCUGGUCUGAGAGGAUGAUCAGCCACAUUGGGACUGAGACACGGCCCAAACUCCUACGGGAGGCAGCAGUGGGGAAUAUUGGACAAUGGGCGCAAGCCUGAUCCAGCCAUGCCGCGUGAGUGAUGAAGGCCUUAGGGUUGUAAAGCUCUUUCGCCGAUGAAGAUAAUGACGGUAGUCGGAGAAGAAGCCCCGGCUAACUUCGUGCCAGCCGCCGCGGUAAAAC
rnacentral:rRNA from 1 species